CCUACGGGUGGCAGCAGUGGGGAAUAUUGGACAAUGGGCGAAAGCCUGAUCCAGCCAUGCCGCGUGUGUGAAGAAGGCCUUCGGGUUGUAAAGCACUUUCAGUGGGGAAGAAAGCCUUGGGGCUAAUACCCUCGAGGAAGGACAUCACCCACAGAAGAAGCACCGGCUAACUCCGGGCCAGCAGCCGCGGUAAUACGGAGGGUGCGAGCGUUAAUCGGAAUUACUGGGCGUAAAGCGCGCGUAGGCGGUCUGAUAAGCCGGUUGUGAAAGCCCCGGGCUCAACCUGGGAACGGCAUCCGGAACUGUCAGGCUAGAGUGCAGGAGAGGAAGGUAGAAUUCCCGGUGUAGCAGUGAAAUGCGUAGAGAUCGGGAGGAAUACCAGUGGCGAAGGCGGCCUUCUGGACUGACACUGACGCUGAGGUGCGAAAGCGUGGGUAGCAAACAGGAUUAGAUACCCUUGUAGUC
rnacentral:rRNA from 1 species